AAUAGAUACCCUGGUAGUCCACGCCGUAAACGAUGGAUACUAGCUGUUGGGGGCGACCUCAGUGGCUAAGCGAAAGUGAUAAGUAUCCCACCUGGGGAGUACGUUCGCAAGAAUGAAACUCAAAGGAAUUGACGGGGGCCCGCACAAGCGGUGGAGCAUGUGGUUUAAUUCGAUGAUACGCGAGGAACCUUACCAAGGCUUAAAUGCAGACUGACCGUUUUGGAAACAGAACUUUCGCAAGACAGUCUACAAGGUGCUGCAUGGUUGUCGUCAGCUCGUGCCGUGAGGUGUCAGGUUAAGUCCUAUAACGAGCGCAACCCCUGUUGUUAGUUGCCAGCGAGUAGUGUCGGGAACUCUAACAAGACUGCCAGUGCAAACUGUGAGGAAGUGGGGAUGACGUCAAAUCAUCACGGCCCUUAGCCUUGGGCUACACACGUGCUACAAUGGCCGGUACAGAGAGCAGCCACCUCGCGAGGGGGAGCGAAUCUACAAAGCCGGUCACAGUUCGGAUCGGAGUCUGC
rnacentral:rRNA from 1 species